rnacentral:rRNA from 1 species
GUAACACGUGGAUAACCUACCUAUAAGACUGGGAUAACUUCGGGAAACCGGAGCUAAUACCCGGAUAAUAUUUUGAACCGCAUGGUUCAAAAGUAAAAGACGGUCUUGCUGUCACUUAUAGAUGGAUCCGCGCUGCAUUAGCUAGUUGGUAAGGUAACGGCUUACCAAGGCAACGAUGCAUAGCCGACCUGAGAGGGUGAUCGGCCACACUGGAACUGGGACACGGUCCAGACUCCUACGGGAGGCAGCAGUAGGGAAUCUUCCGCAAUGGGCGAAAGCCUGACGGAGCAACGCCGCGUGAGUGAUGAAGGUCUUCGGAUCGUAAAACUCUGUUAUUAGGGAAGAACAUAUGUGUAAGUAACUGUGCACAUCUUGACGGUACCUAAUCAGAAAGCCACGGCUAACUACGUGCCAGCAGCCGCGGUAAUACGUAGGUGGCAAGCGUUAUCCGGAAUUAUUGGGCGUAAAGCGCGCGUAGGCGGUUUUUUAAGUCUGAUGUGAAAGCCCACGGCUCAACCGUGGAGGGUCAUUGGAAACUGGAAAACUUGGGUGCAGAAGAGGAAAGUGGAAUUCCAUGUGUAGCGGUGAAAUGCGCAGAGAUAUGGAGGAACACCAGUGGCGAAGGCGGCUUUCUGGUCUGUAACUGACGCUGAUGUGCGAAAGCGUGGGGAUCAAACAGGAUUAGAUACCCUGGUAGUCCACGCCGUAAACGAUGAGUGCUAAGUGUUAGGGGGUUUCCGCCCCUUAGUGCUGCAGCUAACGCAUUAAGCACUCCGCCU